ensembl:lncRNA
ACGGCAGAGGUCGCUUGGCAUUUCCCAUGGCUCCUGAACGCAUGGACGCGUUGUCCUACUACUACUACACACUUAAUACCAAACCCGUACACGGCGCGCGACCAUAACGGAUGUGAACGCUGUGUUUUUGAAAAGGUCACGCGCAGGAAUCGUCAGGUCGCAGUUUAGCUAUACAUUCUUGCAGACAAUUUUUUAAAUUUUAUUAUUUUAUUUUUUUAUAACAGGGUGCACUAUUUCCUGGCUUGUAGGCUGAAAGUGAACUUUAUAUAGCGUUAUAUUUAUAUUGAUAUAUUUGCGGUCGGUCCGGUGAAACCCAAACAGAAGUCAGCACACCGUCCUCAGGCAGAACUGAGCGGAUGAUGCGUGUUUUUUUGUUUGUUGUUGUUUUGUUUUUUUUUCGUGCUGAAGUGAAAAACCGCGAACGGAUGUGAGGGAAAGAGCGCCUGGAGAGAGAGAGAGAGAGAGAGAGAGAGAGAGAGACUCAACCCCUUUUUUUCUUCUUUCAAUCGUUCUGUUUCUUUUUUGUUUGGGUUAACAAUAGAGCAAGCGCGCCCGAGAGAGAGAGGAGAGAGAGAGAGAGAGAGGAGAGAGAGAGAGAGAGAGAGAGAGAGAGAGACUCGUAGACGCUGAACCUGUUUUCAUGCCUUCAGUGGAGCGGAGCGGGCGAUGGAUGUGAGAUUUUAUCCUGCACCCCCUUCGAGCGUGGGCUCCUGCACGUUAUCCACCGACUCCAGCCUCGCCUCUCUGGACUAUUACCACUGCAACAAGCAGGUCGCAGAAAAGACCUGCUAUCACAAUCAACACCAGAACGCACACCCACGCGACGUGCGGCAAUACACCCAGAGCUCACAGCUGGUAGAAAUCAAACUGUUAAACCUAAGCAUCGCCUUAAUAACAGGGAGACCGACUGUUGGAAAGUUCUUCACUUAAUCGUACGUAAACGUGUUUGCUUUUAACAAAACACAACAGUACCUGUGGAGCCUCCCUUUUAUUUUCGUUAAACUCGCACGUGUGUUUGUGUGAAACGUGUCAAACCUUCAGUCACGUCGCAUAGCUGACGUUUAUGUUGCCACACACUAGGUAGAUUUAUUACACCUAUAUUACAGUGUUUGGCUUGGCACAUAGCCUCACCCCUCUCUCUCUCUCUCUCUCUCUCACACACACACACACACACACAGGUCCAUACAUGCACUUUAAUGCUUAUGCAGAUCAUACUUGUAUACUCAUACAAAUAUAAAUAUAUAUAUAUAUAUAUACACACACACACAGGCCCAUACAUGUAGGUUAAUGCUUACCCAGACCCUACAGCAUACACACAGCCUAAUAUCUCAGCAUCACAGCUAAAUCUGAUAGCACUAAGAGCAUCUUGUCCCCGUCGUGUCCCUGCAGGCAGAGACUCUGAAUAUAGAAUAAUUCCACUGGCCUCCAUGGCUUUCAGACCAUAAUUGCAACUUAAUCUCUGGCCCUGUGCAAUUUGCAUGGUAAUAAUAUCCAAUAUUCAAAAUGUAAUAAUGCUCUUGUGGUCGAGG